rnacentral:tRNA from 1 species
AGAAACUUAGGCUAAUUUAUACCAAAAGCCUUCAAAGCUUUUAAUAGAAGUUAAAAUCUUCUAGUUUCUG